rnacentral:rRNA from 1 species
UACGUAGGGGCGAGCGUUGUCCGGAAUGAUUGGGCGUAAAGGGCGCGUAGGCGGCUUGUUAAGUCUGGAGUGGAAGUCCUCUUUUCAAGGGAGGAAUUGCUUUGGAAACUGGCGGGCUUGAGUGCAGGAGAGGUUAUCGGAAUUCCCGGUGUAGCGGUGAAAUGCGUAGAGAUCGGGAGGAACACCAGUGGCGAAGGCGGGUAACUGGACUGCAACUGACGCUGAGGCGCGAAAGUGUGGGGAGCAAACAGGAUUAGAUACCCUGGUAGUCCCUGAG